rnacentral:rRNA from 1 species
UACGGGGGGGGCAAGCGUUGUUCGGAAUUACUGGGCGUAAAGGGCUCGUAGGCGGCCAACUAAGUCAGACGUGAAAUCCCCAGGCUUAACCUGGGAACUGCGUCUGAUACUGGAUGGCUUGAGAACGGUAGGGGUGAGCGGAACUCCAGGUGGAGCGGUGAAAUGCGUAGAUAUCUGGAGGAACACCGGUGGCGAAAGCGGCUCACUGGACCGUCACUGACGCUGAGGUGCGAAAGCUAGGGUAGCAAACGGG